GGUUUGCGCUAUAGUAUUAUUAUUACAUAUUAUUACAAUGAAUAAAAUUAUUAUGUUAUAAUAGUAGCAUAAAAAGUACACAAUGUAUGUUUAUUAAGAUAUUUAUAAAGAAUGUUCAAACAUCAGAACUAAAGUAUAAAAUAAGAGAUAGAAAUAGCAAUAAUUAAUAAUUAAUUAUAAAGAUAGUAUAAACAUUGGUCUGUGUGAGGGAUCGUUUAAUGAAAACAUCAGAACUAAAGUAUAAAAUAAGAGAUAGAAAUAGCAAUAAUUAAUAAUUAAUUAUAAAGAUAGUAUAAACAUUGGUCUGUGUGAGGGAUCGUUUAAUGUUUCAUAGAAGCAUCCAAAAAUAAAGAUUAGACCUAAUCCUAUUUUUGAUUCACUAUGCCUUUUGUCAUCAUUGUUUUUCUCCUUUCUAAGAUGACAGAAUAUAAGUUGAAAUGUUGAAUCAUGGCCAGCAAAUUGAAACUCAACAGAAUAUAAUGUAAUGUAUUCAUUAGGCCUACUAAGAAUAUUUUUUACAUUAAUUUUUUUUCUUUUGAAAGUUGUAUACUGAUAUUGAUAUUAAAUUUAAAGUGUGGGCUUAUUCUGCAUUGGUAAUCUUGAAUAAAUAACAAAAGAAAUACAACAAACAGCUAUAUAAUUAAAGUAAUCCUUCAUGAGUUUGUAUAUUUACAAUCUUGUAUAAAUGUCGUCUGAAGAAUGUGGAAGAACAGCCAUACAACAUAAUGCUAAAGUACUCUUAUUAUUGGGUAUAAAGUAAUUCAAGAGGAAACACAGCAGACAGAACAUGUUUAUGGUACUCCUAUUUUCGCCAAAAAAGGUCGGACUAAACUCUUAAACAUUCGCUAUUUCGGAUACAGAGAGGCCAUGCUGUUUUACUGAGUGCUCUUUCCUGGUUUUUGUUUGUUUACUCCAUUUUACCUUUGACACAGUCAUGCGCAAUGGAAUAUUUGAAAACAAAUCGCCGCGUUGUGUGAUCGAAAUGAAUUUACUUUCAGUUACGCGGACGGGUCUCUCGUGGGUUGUCUUCACUCUCCAUUGGGUCGUCAUAUAACUGGCCGCAUCUUGUUCGAAAUCUUCCUAUUAUAUCGCUUCCGUUUCGUGCGUUACCUCCAUCUUGGCUGACGUAUCCUAUGUUACAAGAACAAGCAUACGAACCUUCUGUGUUAAGGCAUGAUGCAUUGUCGUCGCAGUCAUCAGACUCGUCCUGACACUCGUUGAAAUCUAAUUGAAAACAGACAAAGGCACUGUGGCUGGCCAUCAAGAAAGCAGUCUGCAUUGGUACAUGAGCCUUCCGUACACAUUUGAACAGCUUUGAAAGGAAUACAGUUAGGAGGACGGAGAUAAUUUAACAUAAUAUUGUACAACAAAUUACAGCUGUUUAAUUAUUAAAUAUAACAUGUUUUUUUUUCGUUUCGACACAUUACUUUUCAAUAUAUUGCACGAUUCGUGAUAUGCAGACAUAUAUUAAUUCUAGUGUGAAACAAUUAAUACAAUAAACACAACUAAGUUUUUACAUAUUUAACGUAGUGAAAAUAUCAUCUCAUAGUGUACCAAUACAAUACACUUGUUGUAGUCGAGGAUGUAGUAGAUUACUGUAGACUACAACGAUGUUUUAGAGCAUUCACUAUCUUUUGGGCUUAGUCUAAGAAUGUAUUGUAUCUGUUAGUGUGUUAUAACUUAGUAUUUAGUUUGUUUAUUAAAUUUAACAAAAUACUCAAGUUCCUUAUCUGCAAAACUUUGGAUUUGUAGCUUAUGAUUUUUUUUUCAAUAUACAUAUCAUAUACUAUUUUUU
rnacentral:lncRNA from 1 species